rnacentral:rRNA from 1 species
GUGUAUGAAGAAGGCCUUCGGGUUGUAAAGUACUUUCAGUAGGGAGGAAGGUUCAUNCGUUAAUAGCGUAUGGAUUUGACGUUACCUACAGAAGAAGCACCGGCUAACUCCGUGCCAGCAGCCGCGGUAAUACGGAGGGUGCGAGCGUUAAUCGGAAUUACUGGGCGUAAAGCGCAUGCAGGUGGUUAGUUAAGUCAGAUGUGAAAGCCCGGGGCUCAACCUCGGAAUUGCAUUUGAAACUGGCUGACUAGAGUACUGUAGAGGGGGGUAGAAUUUCAGGUGUAGCGGUGAAAUGCGUAGAGAUCUGAAGGAAUACCGGUGGCGAAGGCGGCCCCCUGGACAGAUACUGACACUCAGAUGCGAAAGCGUGGGGAGCAAACAGGAUUAGAUACCCUGGUAGUCCACGCCGUAAACGAUGUCUACUUGGAGGUUGUGGCCUUGAGCCGUGGCUUUCGGAGCUAACGCGUUAAGUAGACCGCCUGGGGAGUACGGUCGCAAGAUUAAAACUCAAAUGAAUUGACGGGGGCCCGCACAAGCGGUGGAGCAUGUGGUUUAAUUCGAUGCAACGCGAAGAACCUUACCUACUCUUGACAUCCAUAGAACUUAGCAGA